rnacentral:tRNA from 1 species
GCCAAGGUAGCUCAGUUGGUAGAGCACACGCCUGAAAAGUGUGGGGUCACCAGUUCGAUCCUGGUCCUUGGCACCA